rnacentral:rRNA from 1 species
UACGGGGGAGCAAGCGUUGUUCGGAUUUACUGGGCGUAAAGGGCGCGUAGGCGGCCGGGUUGGUCGUGGGUGAAAUCCCCCAGCUUAACUGGGGAAUUGCCUACGAUACUGCCUGGCUCGAGGGAGGAAGGGGCGGCCGGGAACUGGUCGGUGGAGCGGUGAAAUGCGUUGGAGAUCGACAGGAACGCCGGUGGCGAAAGCGGGCCGCUGGCCCUCUUCUGACGCUGAUGACGCGAAAGCCAGGGGA